rnacentral:rRNA from 1 species
AGUGAACGCUGGCGGUAGGCCUAACACAUGCCAGUCGAACGGCAGCACAGUAAGAGCUUGCUCUUACGGGUGGCGAGUGGCGGACGGGUGAGGAAUACAUCGGAAUCUACUUUUUCGUGGGGGAUAACGUAGGGAAACUUACGCUAAUACCGCAUACGACCUACGGGUGAAAGUAGGGGAUCUUCGGACCUUGCGCGAUUGAAUGAGCCGAUGUCGGAUUAGCUAGUUGGCGGGGUAAAGGCCCACCAAGGCGACGAUCCGUAGCUGGUCUGAGAGGAUGAUCAGCCACACUGGAACUGAGACACGGUCCAGACUCCUACGGGAGGCAGCAGUGGGGAAUAUUGGACAAUGGGCGCAAGCCUGAUCCAGCCAUACCGCGUGGGUGAAGAAGGCCUUCGGGUUGUAAAGCCCUUUUGUUGGGAAAGAAAAGCAGCAGGUUAAUACCCCGCUGUUCUGACGGUACCCAAAGAAUAAGCACCGGCUAACUUCAUG